AGUGAACGCCGGCGGUAGGCCUAACACAUGCAAGUCGAACGGCAGCACAGUAAGAGCUUGCUCUUACGGGUGGCGAGUGGCGGACGGGUGAGGAAUACAUCGGAAUCUACUUUUUCGUGGGGGAUAACGUAGGGAAACUUACGCUAAUACCGCAUACGACCUACGGGUGAAAGCAGGGGAUCUUCGGACCUUGCGCGAUUGAAUGAGCCGAUGUCGGAUUAGCUAGUUGGCGGGGGAAAGGCCCACCAAGGCGACGAUCCGUAGCUGGUCUGAGAGGAUGGUCAGCCACACUGGAACUGAGACACGGUCCAGACUCCUACGGGAGGCAGCAGUGGGGAAUAUUGGACAAUGGGCGCAAGCCUGAUCCAGCCAUACCGCGUGGGUGAAGAAGGCCUUCGGGUUGUAAAGCCCUUUUGCUGGGAAAGAAAAGCAGCAGGUUAAUACCCCGCUGUUCUGACGGUACCCAAAGAAUAAGCACCGGCUAACUUCGUG
rnacentral:rRNA from 1 species